GGAAGUAAAGUCGUAACAAGGUUUCCGUAGGUGAACCUGCGGAAGGAUCAUUAUUGUAUAACCGAGGUGCGAGGGCUGUCGCUGACCCGAAAGGUCGUGCACGCCCGAGUGCCCUCACACACAUCCAUCUCACCCCUAUGUGCACCACCGCGUGGGUCCCCCUUUGGCUUGUUCGGAGGGGGGCUUACGUUUUCACACAAACUUUGUAUGCAGUGUAGAAUGUAUUUUUUGUUUUUGCGAUCACGCAAUCAGUACAACUUUCAACAACGGAUCUCUUGGCUCUC
rnacentral:misc_RNA from 1 species